AUGCCCUUUAUUAUAAUUCAUGUUUCCUUUACAAGUGAUGAGCUCUCUUAAAUGACAUAGGACAAUUCUCAGAUGCUCCUUUUAACACCUAGCCUUAUACUUUAGACUUCGAGAUUUAAACUGAGCAAUUGACAUUCUUGCAUAAUGGUCAUGCAAGCAACAUUUUCUUGAAAAAGCUAUUCCAAAAAUGUUUAUUUGUAAUUAUACUCUUUUGUCAACUAAUUUUGAUUGGAAUUAUAUUGAGGGAAGUUUUAGGAAAGGGCAACACACAGAGAGGAUUCCCAUAUUAUAUUUUUAUGGCAUAUUUCAUAGGUAAAAAAAAAAAAAAAAAAGUGGUUGCAUACUGCUUGCUGCUUCUUUGUUUUGAUAUUUGCUAAUUUGGGAGCUUCUUUCUUAUCUAAGUACAAUUACAGGAUUCGGGCAGAUGCUCUAAAUAUUAAAUUGUGAAACUUGUCCAACAAGCAUUAAUUACAAUUCAGUGUGUUCAUUUUAAAAUCCUUUCCAUUAGUAUCACAAUUUGGGCUAUACACCUAGAAGAGGAGCUUGAAGUAAAUGAAAGAAAUCUUGCUGAAAAUCUUGAGUAUCAAAUUCGAAUAGAAAAUGAGGCUAAACAGAAAUGCCUCAUAGACAAAUCUUUGGGUUCCUCAGUGGGCUUUCAUACAGGAUCUGUUGAGAGGAUUGCAGUCCCUGGUCUAUUGAACCGAGGAAUUUUGGAGGAUGGCCUUUCACUGAGUGGAAGGCAAGCUCAUACCAGUGAUGGACAUUCUCAAACCAUAUCUGAUAAAGAAAACCAUGAAGCCAGCCUUUCUCAAAUUAAAGGUUGCUUCAAAGAGCAAACUCAUCCAUGGGGUAAGGAUUAUUUUCAUGUUGGCUAUAGUAUGGUUGAAUUCUUGUGUUUGUUUACUUGGAUCAAUCAGUACUAAGAGUUUGAAUUGCUUCUGAAACAUGGAACUAACAUUAUAAUCAUAUACUUUGAAAAUUAGUCAAUCCACAUUUAGAAGAUAAUGAAUUUCUACAAUUCUAAUUCUCUAAUUUUAUUGUUCAUGUGCUCAUGAAGGCUAGGCUCAAGUGAAUGUGUCUAGCUGACGUGGGUAGAUGAAGAAGAACAAAUUUUAUUUUCCGGUUGUUUUAUUGACUGGAAAAUCUGACUUAUCCCAAAGGAAGUGGGAAUGGAUAUGUGAUUUGUUUCAGUGAAUUAUAUCUGAAAUCUGAACAGUGAUGGCCCUAAGGGUUAGGCCAGUCCUGCUAUUUUUGGUGAUUUGUAUCUAUGGUUCUGCUGUAGCAGAACUUGAGAAGGAAGUCAAUUGUAACGAUAUUUCCUUAUAUUACAAUGUAGAAGUGGCCUUCAAGUUGCAGUUAUGUUCCUUCCAACCUAAAAGGAUUCUAGUUGUAGCAAGUGUUUGCCAUUUGUUGGGAGAAUCCUAUAAAUUUGCUUGGGUGUGUAUGACAAAAGGCAUCCAGAGUGAAGACUGAUGGGAAAGAGAUUGAAGAAACCCUAUCACCUAAUUUUGUAAAUUUUUUCGUAAUGGAAAUUUCAAGAUUGUAGAAAUUGGAUAUGAAAAUUAAUUUCUGAUGUGGAACACCAUCAACUGUUAAAAGUAUAAGAUGCACAAAGGAUAGUCUUUGUUUUUAUGAUUGAAAAUCAACAAAAAACGGAGUCAAUAAUAGAAAAUAAUACCAGAAUUAACUGGGAUUGGUGUUCUGGGCAACAUAUCAUUGAAUUCAGGUAAAUUUGAGAAAAUGUUGAUGAUAUCAUUGUGACAAGGGAGCCUAGACAGAGGGAAAGAACAAUUAAUAAAUGAUCACACAUCAUGGGAAUCUGAAGGAAAAAAAACUCAAGUCAAUGAAGAUCUAUCCAAAUACAUGUUCACAGACUCUCUACUAAGCAAACCAACCAUGAAAGAACUGAUUACAAGAAUAUCUCAUUUGCCUUGAUUAAGAUCUGCAUUGAGAAUAUGUUAUUAGCACAAAAACUAUCAGGACAUGAGAGAGGUCUUAAUUCUCAGCCGAU